CGGUGGCAGCGCAGCCGCGCGGAGCGGCGCGGAGCUGCGCGGGCCGGGCCGCAGCCCCAUUUCUGCUCCGCGGGGAGCGCGCCCCGGCUGAGCCCCUUUUCAAUCGCCUUACUACUGAAAACAGCGCAAAACGCUGUGUAAGAUUUGCCCUGAGUCUUCGAGCCGGUCCCGGAGAAGUUGAUAAAAGAUGGAGGCAUUGGCCACGCUUUGCAGCAAACCUAAUGUAACCUGCGAGGGGAACUGAAGCAGAAAGCAAAGCUAGACAAAGCAGCAUCUGACUUGUCACUGGGGGCAGAAAACAGCCACUGCCGGCCUCUGGUUUUACUGGUGCUCCAGCCCAGUUCCCUGGGCAACAUGGAACUGCAGAUAACUAGGAAAGUGCAAGUUCUUUCCAGGUCCAUGGGGUGAAUAAAAAUUGUUAACCUUU